rnacentral:rRNA from 1 species
GUAUUGGACUACCAUGGCAGUCACGGGUAACGGAGAAUUAGGGUUCGAUUCCGGAGAAGGAGCCUGAGAAACGGCUACUACAUCUAAGGAAGGCAGCAGGCGCGUAAAUUACCCAAUCCUAAAUCAGGGAGGUAGUGACAAGAUAUAACAACGCGAUUAAAUGUCGCGAUUGUAGUGAGGGUAUUCUAAAAAUAGCUUCGAGUACGAUUGGAGGGCAAGUCUGGUGCCAGCAGCCGCGGUAAUUCCAGCUCCAAUAGCGUAUAUUAAAGUUGCUGCAGUUAAAAAGCUCGUAGUUGAACUUCAUGAGCAGUAGGUAGCUUACUACCUGCUCUCUACCAGUCUUUCGACUGUUACUGUGAGAAAUUAGAGUGUUUCAAGCAGGCUAUUGCAGGAAUACAUUAGCAUGGAAUAACGAAUGUACCUACUAAUUGUUAAUUGUAGAUUACUAUUAAUAGGACAGUUGGGGCGAUUAGUAUUAAUUGUC